rnacentral:lncRNA from 12 species
AUGGAAGCACCUCCCCACCCCCACACCCAGGACUGCGUCCAGUGUCCAUUUCAGGUGGUGCCACCACCCCCCAAGCACUCCCCAGCCCCAGGGGCCCAGCCUCUUCAGGUGGACUUGCUUACUGCUCCUGUUCCCACCCAGAAGCCUGCGCACACCACUGCUGCCCUUGCUGUUGCAUCCUCAGCUGGCUCCACGGUGGACACAGCAGCUCUGAAGCCCCGGAGGAGUCUUUGCCCACUGUACAGGAUGUUCCUGUCUCUGUCACCACCAUCUCCACAACCACCACCACCACCACCAUUGUAGUCAGAACCUUGACUCUUGCCAUGGCCCAGGUUGCAUCUGCUUAGAAGAAGAAGACAAAGAGCAAGGGGCCCUGCAUCUGCACCCUGAGCAGCAAGGAUUCCAAAACAGCUAAAGACUCCAGAGGCAGAGGCCAUCUAUAAGGGAUCUAGGUUGGCCAGUUCCCCAGGUCCUGUGGACAUGCUCACCAUGAUACCCCCGGGCCUCCUGAGUGUCCUCAGCUGAGUGAAGCCACCUGGGAGAGGGGGGAGUUACA